AUCAACACAAAUAGUCACCAUCACUCUUCAGCUUUAACCACAGAAAGAUUUGUUUACUUUUACUCUCUAUCCGGUUCUGCGUUUCUUCCCGUAACGUCGUUAAAUUGGCGACACAAUGGUUGAUUAACACCUUUUACGCACACCAUUGUUGCACGUUUAUUAAAUCCGAAGUGCUCUGCUGCAAAGUCAUUGUACUUUCAGCUACAGUGAAUAUUUGUAAAGUUCAAUGCAAUAGGCUGCGAUGCUGUCAAAUAAAGAGAAAAUGCUCAUUGUAGAAAUAUGGGAAAGUCUGACUCCUGUGGCUGAGGAAAUUGGAGCAGAUGCGCUUCUCAGGAUGUUUGCCUGUUUCCCGGGAAGCAAGACCUACUUCUCCCACCUGGACAUCAGCCGUGGCUCGCCCCACCUGCUCUCUCACGGGAAGAAGAUCGUUCUGGCUCUCGCAGAGGGAUCCAAAGACAUCAGCCAGCUGAUCGUCACCCUCACUCCUCUGCAGAUCAUGCACGCCUACCAGCUCCGGAUAGACCCCACCAACUUCAAGCUCUUGUCCCACUGUAUGCUCGUCGCCCUGUCCUGUCUCAUGCGCGAUGACUUCACAGCGGUUGCACACGCAGCGAUGGACAAGUACCUGUCAGCUUUCGCAGCCGUGCUCGCCGAGAAAUACAGAUGAGACCCAGGCCCAGUCCUCCACAGAUAAGCAUUUCUUUACCGAAAGACCGUGUGCUUCCCCUCUUCGGAUGUUCACCAACUUCACCCGGACCCAGGUGGGCUCUACUGUCUUCACCUGACCGAAGAUGGGCCUCCUACGGUCGGCUCACCGCAGAUUCCUGUGCAGCUUCAGAUCUGAGUCGUCUUAUUAGACUUCAUAUUUUCUUUUAUAUUAACAUGAAGAGCUGAACAACUAAUCCAUUGUACUUCCAUUUGAAAAAAUAUUUACUGUUUCAAUUAUAAUAAAGUGUUUAACCGAAAAUCUCUAAGGCUCAUUUUAAUUGAUAAUACUUUCAAUGAAUGUUUAAUACUGUAAUGCCUGAUCUGUCUGUGGUGCUGAAAUAAACGUGUUAAACAUUCAAACCUU